rnacentral:lncRNA from 1 species
CUUGUACAGAUUGGAAGGAGGUAGCCAGCUCCUGCCCAGCUCUCUGAAGCCUGAGACAAAGGCAGAGGUGACCAGGUUUCCUCCUCCUCUUUGGAGUGCAGGCUCCCCAUCCCACUGCUGGAGAUGCAUCAAGAGUCAAGAGGCGUUGAAGAUGUUGCUAC